rnacentral:lncRNA from 1 species
GACCAGAGAGGAGGGGGCUUCCCCGCAUCUCAGCAGGCAACCGAGGGACUGUCUCAGGUCUUGGGGGUUGUCCCCCAACAACCACCUCCUGCAAAGUCAGCAGAGCAGAAUGGAGCUGCGCCUCUGGCCAACACUGCACACUCGUCAGUCACAGCCACCACAGUGGGGCCUUCAACACGCUGCUCCCGCAGCCCCACAUGUGCAUCUUACCGCUCACUCUUGAAGAAACAGACUUACAGGCAGAAGACCCGCCUAGUCCCUGUCCUGUCUCCCCAUCAACCCAUUUCUGGAGGUGGAGCCCUGCCCAGGACAGCAGCCAACUGCACCCUCGAAGACUUGCUGACAAGACACCCAGCAGCAUCUGAAGUUCCAUCCAGACAAAGGGCAGGGACAAGGGAGCCGGGAGCCCUAUUUUCGCACUCUGGGCUUCCCGCCGCCUUCCUCCUGCACUCCCACAGGCACACGCUUCUGAGCCCAUGUGCACCCAUGCGAUAAGGAGACUCAGACGCGGGAGUUCAUCACCUGAGCCUGGGUGGAAAAAGAGUGUGUGCGAGUGUGUGUGUGCACAUGUGUCACACACCCGCAUGCACGUGCACCUGGAGGGCCUUUGUAGCUCCUCUGACAAUGGAGCGAAGGCAUAGCGCUUACAAAGGGGAGGGAAAGGCAGGGAAGAAAAGAAAGACGCCCGCCUUGGCUGCCUCCCUCCGGUUUUGGCUGCGCCAUCUGAGCCAGUUAACCAGUUAACAUGAAGGACGGCAGAAAAGGAGAGAAGCUUCCAGCCUGUAGCCCUGAUGCUGACAGAGACAAACAUUAACUAUCACAGGCCCUGUGGGAGCGGCAGCUGUUCCCUAAAGCGUUUUGGUGGGGAAUUCGCGAAGCCAGUAGCUGAGGACUGGACGCUAAUCCCUCUGCUUGGAGUCCCUUGAGACCUUCAUGCCAACCCCGGCUGGUCAGAGUCACCUCGGCGGGCACACGUGUGCACACACAGUCCACACUCUCCAGCCCCCACCUUGGCUUUACUCUCAGAGCCACCCACUCCUCUUUUGGGAGUUCCGGGGAAAAUGGGGAUUACACGAAUCCACAUUUUGGGAGAUCUACUUUGUGCCAGGCACUUCCAUUUGGUGACCUAGUUUAAGCCUCACAUUAGUAUGGGAAAAGACUUUCUGGUUAUUACUCUGUCUGUGCAGAUGCAGAAAAUGAAGGUGCAGAGAGCUUGUGUGAUUCUGGCUUUUGUUUUCAGGCACACACAGCUCGUAGAUGGUGGAAGGAGAAUUCAAAUCUAGAUUUCUUUUAAUGCCCAAAGUAGUGUUUUCCUUUCACAGUACAGCUGGCAUCCUCUCUCUACCACAGAUUCCUAGAUCCCAUAUGAUAUCGUAGUUGCGGGGUGGGGCCCAGGAAUCUACAUUUAUUACUGACUUUUUUUCCUUUCUCUUGUUUUAACAGCUUUACUGAGAUGUAGUUGAACCGCGAUAAACUACAUAUGCUUCAAGUGAAC